CCGGACGUUAGCGGCGGACGGGUGAGUAACACGUGGGCAACCUGCCCCUUAUACUGGGAUAACUCCGGGAAACCGGAGCUAAUACCGGAUAAUCCCUUUCUCCACCUGGAGAGAGGGUGAAAGAUGGCUUCGGCUAUCACUAGGGGAUGGGCCCGCGGCGCAUUAUCUAGUUGGUAAGGUAACGGCUUACCAAGGCGACGAUGCGUAGCCGACCUGAGAGGGUGAUCGGCCACACUGGGACUGAGACACGGCCCAGACUCCUACGGGAGGCAGCAGUAGGGAAUCUUCCGCAAUGGACGAAAGUCUGACAGAGCAACGCCGCGUGAGUGAGGAAGGCCUUCGGGUCGUAAAGCUCUGUUGUGAGGGAAGAAACGGUACCGUUCGAAUAGGGCGGUACCUUGACGGUACCUCACCAGAAAGCCACGGCUAACUACGUGCCAGCAGCCGCGGUAAUACGUAUGUGGCAAGCGUUGUCCGGAAUUAUUGGGCGUAAAGCGCGCGCAGGCGGCUUCUUAAGUCUGAUGUGAAAUCUCGGGGCUCAACCCCGAGCGGCCAUUGUAAACUGGGGAGCUUGAGUGCAGAAAANGAGAGUGGAAUUCCACGUGUANCGGUGAAAUGCGUAUAGAUGUGGAGGAACACCAGUGGCGAAGGCGACUCUCUGGUCUGUAACUGACACUGAGGCGCGAAAACGUGGGGAGCANACAGGAUUANAUACCCUGGUANUCCACGCCCUANACGAUGAGUGCUAUGUGUUANGGGUUUCGAUGCCCGUAGUGCGCAAAUUUACACAUUAAGCACUCCGCCUGGGGGAGUACAGCCGCAAGGCUGANACUCACAGGAAUUGACAGGGA
rnacentral:rRNA from 1 species